AAAAUAUUCCAAUGUUCAUUAUUUUUGUAAUGUUUUAAUUAAUCAUUGAAAGCAAAACACCCCAUGGCAACAACUAACACUGCAUACCUGGAAUACAAUUUUUGAAUGUGUCUCCACACUGCAUACAAGUUUCCAGUCUGUACACUCUAAAAAAUAAUUCAAGGGAUAUGUUACCACUACAUAAUUUAAUACAUUGUUGUAAAUUAAAAAUUCUAAAUUGUUAAUUUGAUUAAACCUUUUAAGUUGCCAGCAUUAUUUUAAUGAGUUGUCAUGACAGAAUAAUGUUGAUAAUUACAUCAACUUAAUAAUGUAUGGAAUUUAAACAUAAAUAUAUGUGUUGAUUAGUUUAAAACAAUAUUUAUGUUGUAGCAACCCAAUGAAAUUGGCUUGAUAACUUAAUUUUUCCACACCAUUUGAGUUCAGGAUUUCAAAGCUCCUCCCCCACUUAACGAGCAAGGAGCAAGUUCAGACAUGUUUCAGGCUGACCAGUAUGACACAAAGGACAUUUCAAGAAGCCGAAAACAUACUCCUCACUCAUUGAUGGACUUCAAGGAAGACAUAAUAAAAAGAACACACAAGAGUUUGAGGAAGACAUUGAAAGGCAAGUGAUGACAAUUGCCAUCAUCGGUGAUCAAACUACUUCAGGAUUUGACCAAAAGACGGCAACCAUUGUGGUUGAGGGCAUCAAAAUCCUGAAUGGAAUGGAUAUCUCAAGGUGCUGUGCUCUGCUGAUGGGCAUAAUAUAUGCUCUGAAUCUGAGUUACCCCAAGGAACUUAAAUAUACCUGUGAAGUGUUUCAGAAGCUGUUUCUUGAACUUGAUGGACUGAAACCCAGUGAAAAAGUAAUGCGUCUGAAGAACAAUAUUUUCUGAAAUCUCUACUUGUUCCAGAGGAAAUUGUGUUCACGUUUUUUUUUUUUUUUUUUUUGUAAUUUGAAGUCUACUGUAGGCUGAACUUUGUGUUAUAUUUCAUACUGCAUGAAAAACUGAGGUUAAUAUAUGGAUGUCAGUAGCAUUUAUAUAUGCUUGUUUGUGACAGUAGCAAUCUUAGAUGUUUUAAAAAUGGGGUUUACUGUGAAGAAAUAGUUUUAAAGUUU